CUCGGUUUCAGUGUCCACCAACCGAGUGGUGAUGUUUCGUUGUAAACCCACACAACGCCGAUGAUAGCGUACGUGCAGAGGAGCGACUUGCCUACUUGCUUCCAGAAGUAGCGAUCUUCUUUUCCUAAUCCUACUUUCCUCAGGUACUUGUCGAAACCCACUGAUUUCAGAUUCUCAAUGCCUGAAAUUGAAAAAAAAUUAAAGGAACGGAAACAUGUUUAACCGUUUCGUCGAACAGUUGGAAGGCAAUCCGGUUUAAAACAAGAACAGGGAAACCACCAAUUCCCCCCCUGCUUUUAUAGCAAGAUUUCUUUGUCUGUCAGUUUUACCUGUUUUGGCUUCUUGCAGACGUUUGCGGACCCUUUUUCCAGCGAUGAAUGGCUGAGAGCAGUUUCUGCUGUUGUUAGCAUAGAGCUAGAUGAUCACAUGAGCUGGGUUUGAACCAUUUCAAUGCUGAAGAGGAUUGGUUGAGGUGAAAAGGAAAAAACGGAAAGCCCAAAAUAUGGUCCCC
rnacentral:lncRNA from 1 species